UAUGUUGGUUGUGGAGGUCUUUAUUCUAGAGACGUCGGAUUUAUCUGGUGGCUGCAAUUAGAAGAAAGGACUUUACUUUUGACCUAAUCUCCCAGUCGAUGGGAGUGUGUUCUCUGCAUAUUCAUUCGGGGACUAAGGAACAAACGGAGGCUGCACUAGCAUCACCAGAAGGGAGAGAUGAGGAGGAGAGGGAAAGCAAAAGAUGUUGAAUAGAUUAUUUGCUAUAUUAGAGAUUGCUAUUCAAAAAAUAAAUGCAUCAAAUUAA